rnacentral:ncRNA from 1 species
CGUUCUCGGGGCGGGGUGGAACUCCCCACCGGCGGUAAAGAAUUAUUUCUAAGCCCGCGAGCGCCUUCAAUUUAGGGUAUGGUUCAAUAUGCUUAUUAUCUUGAAGGGUCAGCAGAUCUGGUGUGAUUCCAGAGCCGACGGUUAUAGUCCGGAUGUUAGAGAAC